AUUUAUAUAGUUUAUAAUAAAACAUUACAUUUUCACUGUAAAAAUAAAAUCUAAUUUUUUAUAAAUA
rnacentral:tRNA from 1 species